rnacentral:lncRNA from 1 species
GAAUUAUUUAAAUUGCAUAUACUUGUCACUCUCAUUCCUUCUCUUUUUUAAUUACAGCAUUAUAGUUAUACAUACUGUCUGGAUUCAUCUGGACAAAAUCAUACAUGCAUGGACUCUGACCCACUCCAUUUGAGUCCCUGUUUUAUCCUCUGCUUAUCCCUACCCCACUCCUCUACUCCACUUAUCCUCUACUUGCUCUCAUAUAUUUGUCCACCCUUGACUGGUUCUUUCCACACACACACCUAUAGGUGAAAUUCACUGUGGUAUAUUUAUGUAUGCACAUAAAGGGAUUUUGUUACAUUUAUUUCACCUUUCCCAUCUCUCCUUCCUUCCUUCCUUGAUGAUCGCAUUUUAUUCCAAUGAUCUUUUCUAUAUAUUUAUGAUAUCUGACCCCUCUCUCCAUUUUCCCUUAUUUUACUCUACCUUCCACAUAUGAGAGAGAACAUUUGACCCUUGAUUUUCUUAGUCUGGCCUAUUUCACUUAGCAUGAUAUUCUCCAUUUCCUUUCAUUUACCAACAAAUGCCAUAAUUUCAUUCUUCUGUAUGACUGAGUAAAACUCCAUUUUGUAUGUCUACCACAUUUUCUUGAUUCAUUCAUUCAUCUAGUGACAGGCAUCUGAUUCCAUAAUCUGGCUAUUGUGAAUUGUAAUGCUAUAAAUAUUGCUGUGGCUGUAUCACUGUAGUAUUCUGAUUUUAGUUCUUUGGGGGCAUAUAUACUUAUAUACUAUUAUAUAUUAUUAUUAUUAUUAUAUAUUUUUAUAUAUUUAUUAUAUCUUCUUGUUGGAUUGUCCUCUUUUCCAGUCUUUAGUGACC